rnacentral:rRNA from 2 species
UGGGGAAUAUUGCGCAAUGGGGGCAACCCUGACGCAGCAACGCCGCGUGAGUGAUUGAAGGUUUUCGGAUCGUAAAGCUCUGUUCUGGGGGAAGAUAAUGACGGUACCCCAGCAGGAAGCUCCGGCUGAAUACGUGCCAGCAGCCGCGGUAAUACGUAUGGAGCAAGCGUUGUCCGGAUUUACUGGGCGUAAAGGGCACGCAGGCGGUGAGAUAAGUCAGGUGUGAAAGUUUUCGGCUCAACCGGAAAAGUGCACUUGAAACUGUCCCACUUGAGUAUCGGAGAGGUAAGCGGAAUUCCUAGUGUAGCGGUGAAAUGCGUAGAGAUUAGGAAGAACACCGGUGGCGAAGGCGGCUUACUGGACGAUUACUGACGCUCAUGUGCGAAAGCGUGGGGAGCAAACAGG